rnacentral:rRNA from 1 species
AUGGCGCUGCGCUCUCCCUCCAGCACUUCGCGGCGGGAUCUGGUGCCCCGUUAUUCGCCGCCGGCGGACUCUCUGCCUCCCACCUCUCAGGGUGGAUUCAGCAAUGGAGCCAGAGCUGAUGUUGCUAGGAAGACAAAGGAGGAGGCUGAUCAUUUGUUGGCAAAAUUAGAAAAGGAGGGAGUGGAGAUAGAUGGCAAGAUAACUAGUAUUAUUGGUGAUGGGAUAGGUAGAAUCCAAGCUGAUGCUGCGAGGGAGCACAUGAAUGAACCAAAAUGGAAGAGGAUUAGACGGCUGCUUGCUAUUGCAUCUGCUGCUGUUGGUUUCGUUGUGGGUGUGAAAUGUGAAAUGAAUAGGUACCAAAAGGAACUUGCCAAGAAUAGGGGACAGAUCUUUUGGCAGCUUAAAGAAUAA